rnacentral:rRNA from 1 species
GCUACGGGUGGCAGCAGUGAGGAAUAUUGGUCAAUGGACGAGAGUCUGAACCAGCCAAGUAGCGUGAAGGAUGACUGCCCUAUGGGUUGUAAACUUCUUUUAUAUGGGAAUAAAAUGUUCCACGUGUGGGAUUUUGUAUGUACCAUAUGAAUAAGGAUCGGCUAACUCCGUGCCAGCAGCCGCGGUAAUACGGAGGAUCCGAGCGUUAUCCGGAUUUAUUGGGUUUAAAGGGAGCGUAGGGGGAUUUUUUAGGCAGUUGGGAAAGUUUGGGGGUUAACCGUAAAAUUGCAGUUGAAACUGGCAGUCUUGAGUACAGUAGAGGUAGGCGGAAUGCGUGGUGUAGCGGUGAAAUGCUUAGAUAUCGCGAAGAACUCCGAUUGCGAAGGCAGCGCACUGGACUGCAACUGACACUGAGGCUCGAAAGUGUGGGUAUCAAACAGGAUUAGAUACCCUUGUAGUC